CAAGAGAAACGCAAAGAAACUGACAGAAGAGAGUGAGCACACAAAGGCAAUUUGCAUAUCAUUGCACUUGCUUCUCUUGCGUGCUCACUGCUCUUUCUGUCAGAUUCCGGUGCUGAUCUCUUU